rnacentral:tRNA from 1 species
GCCCAGAUGGCGGAAUUGGUAGACGCGCACGGUUCAGGUCCGUGUUCCGCAAGGAGUGGAGGUUCGAAUCCUCUUCUGGGCACCA